AGAGUAGUCAUUGCUACUUUACCUAGCGGCGGACGGGUGAGUAAUGCUUAGGAAUCUGCCUAUUAGUGGGGGACAACAUUCCGAAAGGGAUGCUAAUACCGCAUACGUCCUACGGGAGAAAGCAGGGGACCUUCGGGCCUUGCGCUAAUAGAUGAGCCUAAGUCGGAUUAGCUAGUUGGUGGGGUAAAGGCCUACCAAGGCGACGAUCUGUAGCGGGUCUGAGAGGAUGAUCCGCCACACUGGGACUGAGACACGGCCCAGACUCCUACGGGAGGCAGCAGUGGGGAAUAUUGGACAAUGGGGGGAACCCUGAUCCAGCCAUGCCGCGUGUGUGAAGAAGGCCUUAUGGUUGUAAAGCACUUUAAGCGAGGAGGAGGCUACCUAGAUUAAUACUCUAGGAUAGUGGACGUUACUCGCAGAAUAAGCACCGGCUAACUCUGUGCCAGCAGCCGCGGUAAUACAGAGGGUGCGAGCGUUAAUCGGAUUUACUGGGCGUAAAGCGUGCGUAGGUGGCUAAUUAAGUCAAAUGUGAAAUCCCCGAGCUUAACUUGGGAAUUGCAUUCGAUACUGGUUAGCUAGAGUAUGGGAGAGGAUGGUAGAAUUCCAGGUGUAGCGGUGAAAUGCGUAGAGAUCUGGAGGAAUACCGAUGGCGAAGGCAGCCAUCUGGGCUAAUACUGACGCUGAGGAGCGAAAGCAUGGGGAGCGAACAGGAUUAGAUACCCUGGUAGUCCAUGCCGUAAACGAUGGGCACUAGGCGUGGGGGUCAUUUGACGAUUUUAGCGCCGCAGCUAACGCAUUAAGUACCCCGCCUGGGGAGUACGGCCGCAAGGCUAAAACUCAAAGGAAUUGACGGGGGCCCGCACAAGCGGCGGAGCAUGCGGAUUAAUUCGAUGCAACGCGAAGAACCUUACCAAGGCUUGACAUGAACCGGAAAGACCUGGAAACAGGUGCCCCGCUUGCGGUCGGUUUACAGGUGGUGCAUGGUUGUCGUCAGCUCGUGUCGUGAGAUGUUGGGUUAAGUCCCGCAACGAGCGCAACCCUCGUUCUAUGUUGCCAGCGCGUUAUGGCGGGGACUCAUAGGAGACUGCCGGGGUCAACUCGGAGGAAGGUGGGGACGACGUCAAAUCAUCAUGCCCCUUAUGUCUUGGGCUUCACGCAUGCUACAAUGGCCGGUACAAAGGGUUGCGAUACUGUGAGGUGGAGCUAAUCCCAAAAAGCCGGUCUCAGUUCGGAUUGGGGUCUGCAACUCGACCCCAUGAAGUCGGAGUCGCUAGUAAUCGCAGAUCAGCAACGCUGCGGUGAAUACGUUCCCGGGCCUUGUACACACCGCCCGUCAAGUCACGAAAGUUGGUAACACCCGAAGCCGGUGGCCUAACCCU
rnacentral:rRNA from 1 species